AAUCAACGCUGGCGGCGUGCCUAACACAUGCAAGUCGAACGCGAGAGGGGGCUUCGGCCCCGAUUGAGUGGCGAACGGGUGAGUAACGCGUGGGUGACCUACCUUCGAGUGGGGGAUAACGUCCCGAAAGGGACGCUAAUACCGCAUAACAUCCUGCUUUUGAAUGGGUGGAGAUCAAAGCCGGGGAUCGCAAGACCUGGCGCUUGAUGAGGGGCCCGCGUCUGAUUAGCUAGUUGGGAGGUAACGGCCCACCAAGGCAACGAUCAGUAUCCGGCCUGAGAGGGCGGACGGACACACUGGGACUGAGACACGGCCCAGACUCCUACGGGAGGCAGCAGUGGGGAAUUGUUCGCAAUGGGCGCAAGCCUGACGACGCAACGCCGCGUGGAGGAUGAAGGUCUUCGGA
rnacentral:rRNA from 1 species